rnacentral:lncRNA from 1 species
UGUGCCAGCCUACAAGAAGGCAGUCAAGAGAGUAAAGAUUCUGGAAGGAAUUAGUCAACUAGAGGAAGACACUUCAGAGUGGAGGGUACUUCCAGCUUGAGAAAUGUGGCAGUGGAGUAAAGAAGUUUCUGUAGCAUAUGAGGGAAAAUUUGGAAAUUCAAGGGUAUAGCCUGGACUGGAAUGAAGAUAUGGCUGACCUGCUUAUCCUAAACAUGGAGGCUGUGAAAGGAACAAACCAAUACUCACUGGAAUAGUAGGCAUCAUAUGCUUUCUUACAUGGUUGGAGUCAUUGGGGAAAUGUUUUUAGAAGAUUCAAGGAGUGAAUUGAGUCUUGAUAUGAUGGAUAGGAUGUGAUCAAAUCUCUCCAGGAAGAAGGAGGAAGAAGAGGAGAGAAAAAGAAGAGAGGAAGAAGAGGAGAAGGAUAAAUUGUAAAGAUUUGGAAAGAUUGGGGGGAAUUGUUGAGUUCUGAGACUGAAAGUAAAUAAGGUGAGUUUGGGACUGACUGAGAUGAUGAAGGAGACAGAAUAUUUUGAGAAGGAUGAUUUAAGCAGAAGAACCUAAGAAGAAAGGAAAAGAAGAAAUUAGAGUCAAAGAGUGAGUGCUUCUCCCCGUACAUUUUUUCCCUCAGAGACAAUAGAGUAUUUUUAAAAGAAGACAGGGAAGAAACAUUUUAGUAUGAAAACAAAGAAUAGAAAGUCAUCAGAAAUAAGAGCUGGGUGUCAGAAACACCCCCAAGAGCGCAUUACUCAUACCCUGACUGUCACGAGGAGCCAUUCUCUCUUACUGCCACCAUUGACUCCAUGUUCCUACACUCAAGGCUUUGUCAGCUGUGCAGAGGGAGCUGGCCAAUUACUCAGGUCAAAAGGGAAGAAGAUGGUGUUUUGCAUUUUGACAUCAUUUCAAGAUGGCUGGGAAAUAGCAUCGUGGAGGCUGGAUCAAGUUAGAAAUGAUGAAACUCCAUGAUUCAGAAGACCAGCUUCUCCCAAGGAGUUGGAGGGCCAGGUGAAAGGCAGAGAUUUGAAAACAAAGUGUACUGAAUGAAGAUGGACAAGGGAGCAGCAAUAGGCUACCUUCCUCUGGUAUUGCUGACAGAUCUUUAGUCUUAUUUGGACCUACCACUUAAUUAGACCUGGG